AUUGAACGCUGGCGGAAUGCUUUACACAUGCAAGUCGAGCGGCAGCACGGGGGCAACCCUGGUGGCGAGCGGCGAACGGGUGAGUAAUACAUCGGAACAUGCCCAGUCGUGGGGGAUAACACUUCGAAAGAAGUGCUAAUACCGCAUACGUCCGGAGGGAGAAAGCGGGGGAGCGUAGGACCUCGCGCGAUUGGAGUGGCCGAUGUCAGAUUAGCUAGUUGGUGGGGUAAAGGCCUACCAAGGCAACGAUCUGUAGCUGGUCUGAGAGGAUGAUCGGCCACACUGGGACUGAGACACGGCCCAGACUCCUACGGGAGGCAGCAGUGGGGAAUUUUGGACAAUGGGGGCAGCCCUGAUCCAGCCAUUCCGCGUGAGUGAAGAAGGCCUUCGGGUUGUAAAGCUCUUUCGGCAGGAACGAAACGGCGAGCUCUAACAUAGCUUGCUAAUGACGGUACCUGAAGAAGAAGCACCGGCUAACUACGUGCCAGCAGCCGCCGUAAGAC
rnacentral:rRNA from 1 species